rnacentral:lncRNA from 1 species
CGAUCCGAGAGGGUGCCUUGGGGUACCGGACCCCCCAGCCGCCGCCCCUCCUCUGCGCGUAGUAGCCACGGACGCACCACCGUGGCGCGUGGGCAGAGCCGCUCUUUGCCUACCGCGGCCGGCGCCUCCCCCCUCCAGUCGGGGGAGGGUCACGCCCGGCCGGGCCGUCGUUGGGCGCGGGGCCGCGCGUGUGCGCGAGCGUGCGCGUGGUUUCUCCCGUCGCGUGCUGGGGUGGGGAGAGGGCCCGGCCCUGUCCGGGCUCCGCCCCGCCGCGAGCGGCUGGCUCUCCGCGCCGCCGCCGCUCUCGGGCGCGUUCCCUCGGGACGUGGGUCCCGGAGCAGACCAGACAGGCAGACGGGUGGCUGGGUGGACGGGGCGGCCCCCGGCGGCGGGGGCGCCUCACGUAGGCCCCGGCGGUGGGGCCGGGCCCGCGGGAGCCGAAGGUGGCUGAGGCCGGCCGGCGUCCCAGGCGUCGUGGGACCGCCCUCGCGUGUCGUUGGCGGUGGGAUCCCGCGUGUGUUUUCCUGGUGGCCCGUCCGCGCCGAGGCCGUCCCCGGGAGCCUUCCGCGAGCCCGCGCUCCCUCCGUCGAGGCGCGCGCCGCGCUCCCGUUGCCGCCGGUGCUCCCCGCCCGGGCAGACGCCUGGCCGCGCCGCCCACCGGCCGGGACCGAAAUGGGCCUCGCCGCGCGGGUGUCGCCUCCGGCCACCGAGGCCGGUGGUGGCCCGGGCGAAGUGCCUCGGCUCCGGUUGGGUGGCGCCCGUGCGCCAGGCGCCCGGCGUGGGACGCCGGCGCCGUGUGCGGGAGAGCCCUGGCCGUGGAGGUGGGUGGUGGGGCCGAGCCCCCGUGAGCUGCGCGCGGGGCGACGGGGCCAGUCGCCGUUCCGGGCGCUGCGGGACCGCCCCUGGUGCUGGAGGCCCCUGGCGGUGAGACCCGUGUGUGCUCCGGCGGCCGACUUGCCUCGGAGGCUCUGUCUUCCCUCCUUCGCCCCGAGCGCGUCUCUCGGCGGGCCGCGGCCCUUCCUCCACCGCCACCGCCUCUCCGGCGCCUCGGCCCUCGCCGCCGUCGGCCUUCUCCCGAGCCCUUCCCCGUCGUCGCCUGUUCUGGCUGCCCGACCGGGGCCCCGCCCCGAGCGCGACUCGCUUCCGGGGCCGCUGCGGCCUCCUCCGUGUCCGCCGCCGCUGCCCGCGCGACGGCGACGUUGCGUGCGGGCGGGGGACCGUCCCCCGCGGCGCCCCGUUCUGGCGCGCGCGUGUCUGUCGCAGCGCGGGUCGGGUCCCGGGCAGCCGUCGUGACCGGCCGCCGCGCGCCGCGCCACCCCUGGGGGCGGGGGUCGGGCCUCGGUCCGGCUCUCGGCCCGCGGGGGCGUGCGCGGGCAGUCCGGCGGCGGUGUCGACGCGACUGCCUGGUGCCCCGGCCCCGCUCACGCGCCGUCAAUCGGGGCCGCCGCGAGGGAGGUCAAGAGAAACCUUUUCCAAUGUCUUCCUCAGGAGGAGACUAGAAGUUAGAGAAAAGUAUCCUUUCGAGAGCGAGAAAAACCAAUUCUGAUUUUGCAUCAGCUUCCCUCCGAUCUUGAAACUCAUUGACUUGAUUCCAUUCUGUCGAUGGAAAUAAUCCGGAACCAAUCUAUCCGUGAAAAUCGGGGUGAGUUUAUUCUGACCUAAGAUGUAAGGACUGUGGCCCGGGGCCUUUCUUCCUGAAGGAAGAAAGGGCGCCCGGGAAGUGGGGUGUACAGAGUGCUUCUAGACCCCCAGAGAGGACGUUUCACAUAGGAUCGAAAGGUCCCUUGGACGAUAGUCGCGACACUGCUCUGUCAGCACAGCGAUCGACAGACACCGCUGGGUGGCAGGUCUGUUGUCUGGGCCUGGGUGGUCACAGGUGAGCCGGAUGGUCAAAGGUGAGCGCAAU